AGCGAACGCUGGCGGCGUGCCUAACACAUGCAAGUCGAACGGUAAAAGGGAAACCUGGGGCACGUUGCGUACGGGUGAGUUGCGCGUAGGUCAACUACCCCACAGUCUUGAAUAACCUGCCGAAAGGCGGGCUAAUACUGGAUAGAGCGAGGGAACUCGUAAGAGAGUUUUUCGGGAAAGUGAGCCCGCAAGGGCCUGCGCUCUGCGAUGAGCCUGCGUCUCAUUAGCUAGUUGGUCAGGGACAGGCUUACCAAGGCGAUGAUGAGUAGCUGGUCUGAGAGGACGAGUAGCCACACUGGGAGUGUAACACGGUACAGACUCAUACGGGAGGCAGCAGUGGGGAAUCGUGAGGAAUGGACGAAAGUCUGACGCAGCCACGCCGCGUGAGUGCAGAAGGCCUUCGGGUUGGAGAGCUCUGUCGGAUGGGACGAACCUUUUCAUAGUGAAUAGCUAUGAGGAGUGACGGUACCAUCAAAGGAAGCACCGGCUAACUCCGUG
rnacentral:rRNA from 1 species